rnacentral:miRNA from 1 species
UGUACAAUGUCCUAGCUCGAU